GACGAACGCUGGCGGCGUGCUUAACACAUGCAAGUCGAACGGAAAGGCCCUGCUUUUGUGGGGUGCUCGAGUGGCGAACGGGUGAGUAACACGUGAGUAACCUGCCCUUGACUUUCGGAUAACUUCAGGAAACUGGGGCUAAUACCGGAUAGGAGCUCCUGCUGCAUGGUGGGCGUUGGAAAGUUUCGGCGGUUGGGGAUGGACUCGCGGCUUAUCAGCUUGUUGGUGGAGUAGUGGCUUACCAAGGCUUUGACGGGUAGCCGGCCUGAGAGGGUGACCGGCGACAUUGGGACUGAGAUACGGCCCAGACUCCUACGUGAGGCAGCAGUGGGGAAUAUUGCACAGUGGGCGGAAGCCUGAUGCAGCAAUGCCGGGUGCGGGAUGACGGCCUUCGGGGGGUAAACCGAUUUCGACGGUGACGAAGCGGGAGUGACGGUAAUGGGUAAAGAAGCACCGGCUAACUACGUG
rnacentral:rRNA from 1 species